rnacentral:lncRNA from 1 species
UACAAGAUAGUGGGCUAGGCACCAGGAAUACAGCAGGAAACACACUAGACAUGGCUCUGCCCUCACGGGGCUUUUCUAAUACCACAGUUCAGUAGAUGAUGAUAUCCUUACUGGACCAGACACACAACCAACUUCAUUUACUCCAGAAUUGGGCUCCACAGUUGCAGCUGUCCUGGGAAGCACAUAGGCUCAGAUUCCAUACCCUGAGUGGUAAGGUCUUGAGCAUUUUGGCUCUUAAUCACUCACUGAAGUAGAAAGAAUCCACCUCCAUGCCCAAGCACUGAGUCCCUGGUGUCAAGCCCGAGUGACCAACUGAGAAUGCACUUGCCCUUCAGAAACAUUCAGAAGCUCAUUAAUGAAGUCACUGUAGAGGAGUUUGAACAAGAAAACUGCUGUCUCAGGCAUCAAAAACUACAAUGACCAUUUAUAAGAUCUCUGACACCUGCUUAUCCCAAAGAAACAUCCCUGAAAAUCCUGUUACCAAUACCUUCCCUGGAUAACCUCCAGAAUCUCUUAUACACCCACAGAAACUUCCUGUGUUUUUUUUCUCCAAGCCUUUCUGGGAGUCCUAUUGGAGCCCUUACAAGCUUCAAGCUUCAGGUCUGAGGUGAUAUGUGCCAAUAAGGUGGAAGGAAUUGAGAGGAGUUGAAAAUUUGGAGUUUCUCAGAGCAACUGGAGCACGUUCAGACAGAUUUAGUGCAGCUGUGUCCACUCGACACAAAUAUCCAGCUGUUUCUAACUACCUAGAGCAUUGUCUAUCCAUGCAUUGUCUAUGAAUUUUUUGCUUUCCAACUAUUACCAACAAUAUUCUUUAAGAUUAAAUAAAAGACUGGUAGAAUCUUGGCCAGACAUGUACCAAGGAAUUUUUCAAAGAAGUUGGGAACUUGGAGCACCCCUCAGAAUCCUCAUUGGUAUGUAGCCCCUGGAGUGCCACAGAUGAUGCUGGUUCCCAAUGACUAAACCACCUGAGCCAAUGGAGCCACGUGGUGGCUUGAACUGAGGAGAUGCUGAGAAAAUUCUCAGGCUUCUCCUUUCUCCCACAAAGACACUCAUGCUUAAUACAAGUUUGAAUCAAGAAUUGUUUCCUCCCCUACAUCUGACCCUGAGUGUGACCUUUAAACUUUAUUUGAUCUCAGAAACUUUGAGAAUCUUAUAAAACCUAUGGACCUUCUAAAAAUGCUCACAGGUUCAUACACAAAAAUUUCAGGAAGUUCACAGCCCCUAACCUGAUGAAAGUCUAUCAACAGACAUCUUACAAACUCUUCCUCUGAACUUUUAAGAACGCUUAUCUUGGAGCAGUUUUUCCUCAAAAUUGAAUAAUGGAUAAAUCCCUCUGAAAGGGGGGAAAAUAUAUUUCAAAUUCCAGAGAUCAUCUCAAAUCAUUAAGAUGAUCUGCAGAACCCAGCUGGAUAAAGAGUCCCCUUGAGACUCUAGGCAGACAGAACCCAUUUUGUCACCACUGCAUCCCCAGCAUAUAGAACAGUGCUUGGCGCAUAAUCGUUAAUUCAUAAAUAUUUGUUGAAUUCACUGAAAGAACAAGGUUUCUGAGUGACUCAGGAGCUCAGGCAUAAGCAAUGGGUUUAUUUAUAGCCCAAAGAAAGGAGCACCAAAUGACUCACUAGCAUCACCUGGAGCCACAAAUGGUGUUAAAACCAGCAUGCCAGGGAGAUGCCUGAUACUCGGAUGCAGUAGAGUUUGGAGAGGGUAUUUUAUGGUUAGUCCCACCACUGCUUUAGAAUGACAUUGGAGGUGUACAAGUGUUCUGAACUAAGAGACCUGGGUUCACAUCUUGUUUCUGCAAUUCACGAGCUGUACACAAGUGAACCGUGUAACCUGAGUCACAGCUUUCUCCUGUGUAUGAUUGGGAGAUCAUUUAUGCUUUCCUCACAGCAUUGUUGUCAGAAUCCAGAUUUACUAAAUACCAAUGCAGUUCAGAUGUUAGAGCCUCCAUAGAAAUGUUAAGUACAUAUACAAACAAAGCUUUUAAUAACUGAGCCAGGGGCAGGGGUGGGAGGCUUCACUGUGAACCAACACCACAGAAUCAAAAGCAGAGAUUGGAUUGGCAUUUCUGAUUGGAUUGCAUAUAGCACUGUGACAGGUAUAGAUAUUUCCACGCUUCUUUUUGAACCUUUUCUUUUGUUUUUCUUUGCCUUUUUGUUGUUGUGGUGGUGGUGGUUUUUUGAGACAGGAUUUAACUCUGUCACCCAGGUUGGAGUGCACUGGCAUGAGCACGGCUCACUGCAGCCUCGAACUGGGCUCAACGAUCCUCCCAUCACAGCCUCCCAAGUAGCUGGGACUACAGGUGCAUGCCACCAUGCCUGGCUAGUUUUAAAGUUUUUUGUAGAGAUGGGGUCUCGCCAUGUUGCCCAGGCUGGUCUUGAACACCUGGGCUCAAGCGAUACCCCUGCCUUGGCCUCCCAAAGUGCUGGGAUUACAGGCAUAAACCACACACCCAGCCUAACUUUUUGAACCUUAUAAUAUGCUCCUGAUGAAUUCAUAAAGUAGAAAUGACAGCAAC